AGCGUCAUUCUCCGUCAUAAUAAAAUCACAUUUAGUGUCCGUUUGGAAGGCUCGUCCUGUUCUCACUCACACAUUCUUCUUCUUGAAUGAGCUGCACCAACUUCUGCAGGACUUCGUCAAGAACCCUGCGGAUGUAAAGACACGAAGACAGAAAGCGAAUGAGCCGGGGCUAAUUAUUGCCAUUUUCCUGCAGCUGCACAGCGAGUGAGAAGUUGACGGCGUAUGAAAAGUGAAGUAGAGUCAACAGAGCUGUUAAUUCCAGCUGGCACAUGCUGUGCUCAUUUUUUUUUUGUGAGGUUGGUGUGGAGCAAAACGCGAGACGCAAAUAACCGCAUUAAGCGUGACGCAGAGCACCUGUUUUUGAUGUUGAAAUUCUUGCCGAGAUGAAGGUGUUUCAGCGAGGGGUGUCUGGAGAGGGCGGGCAGCACCGUGAGCAAGUCUGCAUCCAAACCUGUCGACACCAGAAAAGAUCAAAAGUCGCUCGGGGACAAACAAGACAAAAACAGGCAAGAGUAGCGAUGGAAGAGACUCUGGGGAAGAGCUCUUGAAGGACGGCAGCUCCUGCACAUCGAAGCUGGAGGAUCGAGGUCAGGGGACAAAGGCACGCAUGCAUGAGGAGCGUUUAUUUUCCAAAAAGUUCAUCAGUUUGUAUGCAGUCUAGGGUGCACCACACCUCUGGCACAAAGUCACUUGCAAUAAACUCCGACUCGCCGGUGACCCUAAUGAGGACAAGCGCUAUAGAAAAAGGAUGGGAAUACCUAAGGACCUCAGGGGGUAGUUUCAUGGCAGCCAGGCUGACGUGGGUCAGGCUGAAGGCGGAGCUGAAGAACUGCCGGAACAACGGUAGCGUGUCCUUCCCUUUUCUGUCAGGUGCAAAGAAUACAGUAGUGAGAGAGUGAAAUGGAUGAGAUGAGGUGAGUGUGGAAACAGAUGAGAGCGGAUGCUGUUGACAUGGAGAGUACAGACAGCGCAUACAAAGUCAUCCAAUGGGUGAAAGUCAAAUGAUGGAUGGCCCCACUUAAAUAUUCACACAAUGAGCUCUCAAAAUGCACCAGUGGAGAGCAAACACACAGUUUCAGUCAGUUUACAAAAAAAAAAAAAAAAAAAAAAAAAAAAAAGGAAUGUGCUGUGUUACCUUGGCUUCGAGUUUAAUAAUUCAUUCCAUCUCCAAACCUGUGACUCAAAUGUUUUUGUAUAUUGAAUCCGUUUUCCUCAUUGAAAUUACAUUAAUCUGCUGUAUCCCCGUAACACCACCAUGUUUUUUUUUUUUGCUAAUUUAACAAAGAAAAAUGGUACUGUGUACAAAUAAGGGUAAGAUAAAAGAAAGAUAUUGCACAAAGAGUCAAACAAGUUUAAUAAUUUUGUCAGCCAAAAUUUGGAAGCGAUAUGUUUAAAAACUGUGUUUUAAAGCAUUUGGAGGAGGAGAAUCAUUAAAGAUUACACGGUUGUUCUGUAAUACAGCUUUUCAACUAAUGUAGUUGAGUUAGCAGUGUUUCAUGGUAGUCAAAUUGUGCUUAAAAAGUAGGUCAAAUGAUUAAAGUGAAGAUGUGAAACAACAAUAUAAUGAGGUGAAAAGAAAGAAGGACAGAUGAAGAUUUAAAGGAGAGUUACAAAGGAUAUCCCCCAUGGGUUCAGCCCUUAGUACUGAGGCAUACCCAAAGCCAGGACUAACCUGUGGGAGAAGGAAUUUUUGGAAAGAUUCAGAAAGGAGAGGUCUGCGCAACAGCCCCUCAGCAGAGCACCAAAUAGCUGCGUGAGACAGGGUGGAAACUGUUAAAUCCAAGCGGACGACAGACGGUUACUUUUGAAACCGUUGAUUGGUAAAGCCUUACUGAGUCCACAGAGCAAUCUGUGCCCGAUAGGUCCAAAUGCACCAGGCAGUUGGGCUGAGACAAGAAGAGAUAGAAGCUCUGCAAACAGAGAAAUAAGAGACAUCGUAGAGGCUUCACAGAAAAGGGACGAAAUUAGACAAACGGGCUUUCUAACCGAGGCGUCAUCGCCAGACAGGACACCGGGGUUCUUGCUCAGGUCUAGGUGCAGGAGCGAGUUGGAGUACUCGUCACUAGAGUUCAGUGCCAUUGAAAGUGAUACCACACCUGGGUGGUAAAAGGUGGAUUGUUAGAAGAAAUUUUAGAAUUUUAUGACUGUCCUUUAAUCAAAGGCGGGAGGAACCUGGAAAACUAAAGGACCCAAUGAAAAGCAUGAAAAGCAGUAGCCUUAAUUACAGAGACACAAUAAAGCUUUUUACCCAAUUUACUCCUACUUUAUAUCAAGUACAUUUUUCCAUUGAAAAUACUUUUUUGGUGUCUUAGGAUGAGUCAAAUUCAUUCCAUGACAAUGCUUGUUACUCAAAACAUUACAGUGAUCCCUCACUACUUCACGCUUCAAACUUCACGCCUUCAGUCCAUCGUGUAUUAUUUUGCAAUAAAAAAAAUAAACAAAUAAAUAAAUAAAUAAAGAUGAGCCGUCACGAGCCGAUCACGUAGUCUCACUCUCCCUCCUGCUGCUCUUUGUUGGUCAGGCAGUGCACUGGAGUUGCUUAUUAAAGGUAAUGAUGAUUGACAGACAUUAUGUUUAAUCUUGCCGCAGAUGCUUGGAAGCCAAAGCUUCAAAGCGUCGCAUGCGUCAAUCAUCGUUUAACUUGUUAA